rnacentral:rRNA from 1 species
UGCCUACGGGGGGCAGCAGUGGGGAAUAUUGGGCAAUGGGCGCAAGCCUGACCCAGCAACGCCGCGUGAAGGAAGAAGGCUUUCGGGUUGUAAACUUCUUUUCUCAGGGACGAACAGAUGACGGUACCUGAGGAAUAAGCCACGGCUAACUACGUGCCAGCAGCCGCGGUAAUACGUAGGUGGCAAGCGUUAUCCGGAUUUACUGGGUGUAAAGGGCGUGUAGGCGGGGACGCAAGUCAGAUGUGAAAACCAUGA